rnacentral:rRNA from 1 species
UACGAAGGGGGCGAGCGUUGUUCGGAAUUACUGGGCGUAAAGGGCGCGUAGGUGGCUUGGCAAGUUGGGUGUGAAAGCCCAGGGCUCAACCCUGGAAUUGCAUUCAAGACUGCUUUGCUUGAAUUCGGUAGAGGUUGGUGGAAUUCCCAGUGUAGAGGUGAAAUUCGUAGAGAUUGGGAAGAGCACCCGUGGCGAAGGCGGCCAACUGGACCGACAUUGACACUGAGGCGCGAAAGCGUGGGGAUCAAACAGG